AACAGAGCCAUCCCCUGAAAUCCUUCCCAACAGAGAAUCUGCACUCACCUUGACCUACUGGAUUGUACGUGUGUCCAUCAUCUUCUGUGUGUUCGCCCUGACUGCUGUCUGCCUAAGCAUAUGGCAGAUAUCAGCUUCCGUGCCUCCGAAGAGCAUAGGCCUUCCUGUGAUUCUACCUGUGUGUCAAGUACUAGAUUUUCUGCUGCAAUCUCUACCUCUGUGGUCUAAAACUGCAGAGAGAGAGAGAGAGAGAGAGAGAGAGAGAGAGA